CGGGAGGUGACAGGUGAAAUAGAGAGUACCAUCAGGCUCAUGAUCCCUGGGGUUGCAGCUUUGAGGAGGCUGUGUCUGCAGUUGCAGCUUGUAGGACCAUCACCUUAUUCUCCCAUCCCUCUAAGCAAAUGCCCAAGGAUCUUUAUUACUACUCUUGGAGAGGCAGAAUGGAGGAGGGCAGCAUCUGAAGCUGACUGCCUAGGUUCAAAGUCUAGGCCUGCUGCUCAAGUGCUGUGCCUGUGUAGCUUUAGAAUUUGAUCUGCACUGCAUUUAAUCGUCACAUCUCCUUAGUGUCCUCCAAUCUCUGACAGUUCCACAGUGUUUGUCUUUCAUGAACUUGGCACUUUUGAAGAAUACUUGUCAGCUCACAAGAAGGGAUUUGUGACCUGCUUUGAUGAAAACACCCUCCCUUUGAUUUUCUCUCACUUCGAGC